CCUACGGGAGGCAGCAGUGGGGAAUAUUGGACAAUGGGCGCAAGCCUGAUCCAGCCAUACCGCGUGUGUGAAGAAGGCCUUUUGGUUGUAAAGCACUUUAAGCGAGGAGGAGGCUCUUGAGGAUAAUACCCUUGAUGAGUGGACGUUACUCGCAGAAUAAGCACCGGCUAACUCUGUGCCAGCAGCCGCGGUAAUACAGAGGGUGCGAGCGUUAAUCGGAAUUACUGGGCGUAAAGCGCGCGUAGGCGGCUUGUUAAGUCGGAUGUGAAAUCCCCGGGCUCAACCUGGGCACUGCAUUCGAUACUGGCAAGCUAGAGUAUGGGAGAGGAAGGUAGAAUUCCAGGUGUAGCGGUGAAAUGCGUAGAGAUCUGGAGGAAUACCGAUGGCGAAGGCAGCCUUCUGGCCUAAUACUGACGCUGAGGUGCGAAAGCAUGGGGANCAAACAGGAUUAGAUACCCUGGUAGUCCAUGCCGUAAACGNUGUACAACUGCCGUUGGGACCUUGAGUCGUUAGNGCGNAGCGUAACGNGUAGUUAGUUGACCGUUCGUUGGGGAGUUCGGUUCGCGAAGACUUAAACGACGAAAGGUUAGUUGGACGGCGNGAGACGCGACCGACGGACGACGACGAGGGAGGUAGG
rnacentral:rRNA from 1 species